rnacentral:rRNA from 1 species
ACCGAUAGUGAACCAGUACCGUGAGGGAAAGGCGAAAAGAACCCCGGCGAGGGGAGUGAAAAAGAACCUGAAACCGUGUACGUACAAGCAGUAGGAGCCCCAUCACUCAAGUGCCUCGCACUGAGUGAUGCAAUAACAUCACCGAAAAUAGCGUAGCAUUUGCUAACAAGGUUGGUCGAUUUUUUCAAGCCGUCGCGCAGUGUACCUAGAAGUACACGAGCAACGGAAGUUAAAAAAUCGGGCAAGAUUGAACGCAAAGGCAAGCGGGACAUUUGAGGAUGGGGUGACUGCGUACCUUUUGUAUAAUGGGUCAGCGACUUAUAUUCUGUAGCAAGGUUAACCGCAUAGGGGAGCCGUAGGGAAACCGAGUCUUAACUGGGCGAAUAAGUUGCAGGGUAUAGACCCGAAACCCGGUGAUCUAUCCAUGGGCAGGUUGAAGGUUGGGUAACACUAACUGGAGGACCGAACCGACUAAUGUUGAAAAA